rnacentral:rRNA from 1 species
GACGAACGCUGGCGGCGUGCUUAACACAUGCAAGUCGAACGAAGUGGCGAACGGGUGAGUAACGCGUAAUCAACCUGCCCUUCAGAGGGGGACAACAGGUGGAAACGACUGCUAAUACCGCAUACUGAAGGAGGGGAUUGCUUCUGAUUAGCUAGUGGGAGGGGUAACGGCCCACAAAGGCGAUGAUCACUCGCCGGUCUUGGAGGAUGAACGGCCACAUUGGGACUUAGACACGGCCCAGACUCCUACGUGAGGCAGCAGUGGGGAAUCUUCCGCAAUGGACGAAAGUCUGACGGAGCAACGCCGCGUGAGGGAUGACGGCCUUCGGGUUGUAAAGCUCUGUUAAUCGGGACGCGGUACCGGAAUAGAAAGCCACGGCUAACUACGUGCCAGCAGCCGCGGUAAUUC